rnacentral:rRNA from 1 species
UACGUAGGUGGCAAGCGUUGUCCGGAAUUACUGGGUGUAAAGCGCGUGUAGGCGGCAGACCAAGUCGGCGGUGAAAGCGCCCGGCUCAACUGGGCGAGGUCCGUGGAAACUGGUCAGCUGGAGGACGGUAGAGGCGAGUGGAAUUCCCGGUGUAGUGGUGAAAUGCGUAGAGAUCCGGAAGAACACCGGUGGCGAAGGCGGUCUGCUGGGGUCGAACUGACGCUGAGGUGCGAAAGCGUGGGUAGCAAACAGG